AAUCUUCCGCAAUGGACGAAAGUCUGACGGAGCAACGCCGCGUGAGUGAAGAAGGUUUUCGGAUCGUAAAACUCUGUUGUUGGAGAAGAACAAGUAAGAGAGUAACUGCUCUUACCUUGACGGUACCCAACCAGAAAGCCACGGCUAACUAUGUGCCAGCAGCCGCGGUAAUACGUAGGUGGCAAGCGUUGUCCGGAUUUAUUGGGCGUAAAGCGAGCGCAGGCGGUUCCUUAAGUCUGAUGUGAAAGCCCACGGCUCAACCGUGGAAGGUCAUUGGAAACUGGGGAGCUUGAAUGCAGAAGAGGAGAGUGGAAUUCCAUGUGUAGCGGUGAAAUGCGUAGAUAUAUGGAGGAACACCAGUGGCGAAGGCGACUCUCUGGUCUGUAAUUGACGCUGAGGCUCGAAAGCGUGGGGAGCAAACAG
rnacentral:rRNA from 1 species